ACUCAUCAAGUCCUCUCCUGUACAUCAAUCUCUUCUGUCUCUUUGCCUGUCAAAACAAAGAUGGUUUCCAAGUCUCUUGGCCAUCUCUUCCUAGUUUCUUUCCCAGCCCAAGGCCAUGUAAAUCCUUUACUUAGACUUGGAAAAAUUCUUGCCUCCAAAGGCUUCCUUGUCACCUUCUCCACUACUGAAACCAUUGGCAAACAGAUGAGAAAAGCCAGUGGCGUCAUAGAUAAGCUGACCCCGUUCGGUGAUGGCUUUAUCCGGUUUGAAUUCUUUGAAGAUGGAUGGACAGAGGACGAGGAUAGGCACCAAGACCUUGAUCAAUACUUACUUCAACUUGAGCUUGUUGGUAAACAAGUAAUUCCUCAAAUGAUCAAGAAAAAUGCAGAGCAAGGGCGGCCUGUUUGUUGCCUCAUAAACAACCCUUUCAUUCCUUGGGUUACAGAUGUGGCCACAAGUCUAGGUCUCCCUUCUGCAAUGCUUUGGGUUCAAUCCUGCGCUUGUUUUGCCUCAUAUUACCAUUACUAUCACGGUACUGUACCUUUCCCUGAUGAGGAGCACCCCGAGAUAGAUGUCCAAUUACCAUGCAUGCCUCUCCUAAAACAUGAUGAAGUGCCUAGUUUCUUGCAUCCCACAACUCCUUAUCCUUUCUUGAGGAGGGCUAUUUUAGGCCAGUACAAAAAUCUUGAGAAACCAUUUUGCAUCCUGAUGGAAACAUUCCAAGAGCUUGAACCAGAGCUUAUCAAGCACAUGUCCGAAAUCUUCCCCAUCAAGGCCGUUGGGCCACUAUUCAGAAAUCCCAAGGCACCAAAGACAACGGUCCAUGGAGACUUGCUGAAGGCAGAUGAUUGCAUCGAAUGGCUUGACACAAAGCCACCUUCAUCCGUUGUUUAUGUGUCUUUCGGUAGUGUCGUACAAUUGAAGCAAGACCAAUGGAACGAGAUCGCUUAUGGGUUAUUGAAUUCGGGCGUCUCCUUCUUGUUAGCUAUGAAACCACCCCACAAAGAUGCAGGACAUGACCUCCUUGUUCUGCCAGAUGGGUUCUCGGAGAAAGCAGGAGACAGGGGCAAGGUGGUGCAAUGGAGUCCUCAAGAGAAGGUUUUAGCUCACCCGUCAGUUGCGUGCUUUGUAACUCAUUGUGGGUGGAACUCUACUAUGGAAGCACUCACAUCAGGCAUGCCAGUGGCGGCUUUCCCUCAAUGGGGUGAUCAAGUAACUAAUGCAAAAUAUUUGGUCGACAUCCUUAAGGUUGGUGUGAGAAUGAGCCGCGGAGAAGCAGAGAACAAACUGAUUACUCGUGAUGAGAUAGAGAAAUGCUUGUUGGAGGCCACAGCGGGACCUAAGGCAGUGGAAAUGAAGGAGAAUGCAAUGAAAUGGAAGGAGGCAGCGGAGGCAGCAGUGGCUGAGGGUGGUUCCUCCGACUGGAAUAUACGAUAUUUUACGGAAGAUAUUGUAAAAGCGAAUGAGUCUGAGAUUGCAGGGAAGUGCAAUGGUUCUAAUGAGUUUCCAGUGUCGGUAGUGGUGAAGUCCAUUGAGAAAGUGGCUGAACUGGUGGGGUCAUCGGCAUGAGGGGAUUUGCUUUAUAUGCAGUGAAUAUGGAACUGGUCUAAUCCACUGUUAGUAUGAUGAAAUUAGUCUUGUUAUGUACUUGUCUACUUUUUACUUCUUUUAAUUAGAUAUUAAUAAUAUACAGUAAAGGCCAAAUGCCAUAUGUAUGGUUGUUAUCGAAUUUCUGUACUUUCCUAUUUAUAAUUUGCUAAAAUCUUAUUCGUUUGAAUUGCUUGUAAUGGUUGUUGAAAAUUAAAAUUGUUGUAAUAUUUUUAGUUUUUAUUAUAUUUAUGAUUGUCUUAUGAUUUGAGUAUAAAUUUCAUUAUAUCUAGGAUUUUUAUAAUGUCGAGCAUUAUUCAAAACUCAAAGAAAUUAUUAGAACCGUAUGGGUUGAUAUUUUAAGAAAGUAAGUGAUAGAUUAUCAAGUGGGCGGAGGACAACAAAUUCUAAACUUUCUAGUUUUGAAAAUAUAGUGUCUCAAUGAUUUUUUCAGUCUUCAAGAAAGGAUCAUGCAUGGUUAAGAAUUUAACAUCACAACUCUUGAACGUGAUCUAGAAUUAUAUUGGCAAAUAUUUGAAUUUUUAGUUAAUAAUUCUGACAAUAUUCAAAGAGUAUAUAUACAUUGAUCUUGGCCCAUAUGUACAUCUUAGUCAUGCAGAUGGAGCACAAUAUCGAAGGUUUCAAUAUAAGCCAUUUAAGCAUAUUUUUGGCUUGAGUAUUCUGUUGCCAAAGAUAUGACAUUUUGUUUUCCUUGCUUUCAUUUUAAUAAUGAAUAACAUAAAAGAGAGACUCAUCAUUCCAAUACAUAUAGCACGUCUAUAAGGAAUCGAGGGUUUCGGGCUCCUCGAUAGUUGCUCCCAGUAUAAUGAUCAGUCACCUGCUAGAAAGAAAAAUAUAUAGCUUUGAGCAAACGACAGUAAUUGUAGGACGCAAGUGAAGUGAAUUGGGUUGAUAUUGGGUUCGUUAUACAACAAAUAAUGCAAGGUAAGGGCGGUUUCUGCUAAGAAACGUGAACAGUGGAGGUUGCACGCAGAGAAGGAGAAGAGGAAAAUAAAGGAGGUGGAAACUGACCUGCAGUGGCGGUGCUGUUGUUGAUGGUGGGCGAAGAUGAGGACUGGCGGAGGACGCUGCUGGUUGUUUUUCCUCUUUCUCAGUAUUUUCCUUUUGCCUUUCUUCUCUUAUCUUUUCUCCUUCCCUCUGUUUUUCUGUUCUUCUUCUUUUGUUCUCUAGCGGUGGUAAUGCUACUGGUGGCGGCGUUGUGGCUGCUGGCGAUGGUUCCCGGCGAGGAAAGGUUCUUCUUCCUAACUAGGUGGCUGUGCAAUAGGGAGCUGUUGUGUGUGCCGGUCGACAGUUCUUUUUCUGUGUGUUUAUCCAGGAAGGUUCUUCUGAUGGGCUGCAUAUAUACUUGGGCCCAUCCAGGAAGGGACGUGCCUGUCAUUUUAGCAAAUAAACUGUACCCCUCCUCCUUAUUAUUUACUAGAUUUUUUUUUUUCAUCUUUUUUUAUUUUUUUUUAAUUUUAAUUUUAUUGUUUAAUAUUUUUUUUUAUUAAAGAUGAAGUUUUAUAAUUUAUAUAAUUUAUUUUUUAUAAAGUUAUGUAACAUGAACACAUAACUUUUUAAUUUAAAAAGAUCAUUUAUUGAUGUGAUUAUUUUUUAAUUUUAUUUAUAUAAUUAUUUUGAUGUGUUAAUAUUAAAAAUAAAUUUUAAAAUAUAUAAAAUAUAUAUAUUAUUUUAAUUUUUUUUUAAAAAAAUAACUUUUAUUACAAUGAUUGAGUACUAAUAAAGUGCAUCGAGAAUCUUAAAGUGGAUCGAAAUUUUUAAAAUAAGAUAUAACAAUCACAAUCACUUUUCAACGAUGAUGAUUACUCGUUUUAAUUUUUUCUUUUUUUUUUCUUCAUGAUGAACUUUUAAAACUUUUAUUUAUUUAUUUCUAUUUUUUUUUUUAGAUUUGAUACACGAUUACGAUUAACACUUUGAUUUGAGUUUUGUCAUUUUAUCUUUUUAGUUUUUUUAGAAUGCGUUUGGGAGUGUGGUUGUUAUUACUUUUUAAAUUAUUUUUUAUUUUAAAAAAUAUGUUAAUAAUUUUUUUUUAUUUUUUAAAAAUUAUUUUAAAAAUUAAUACAUUAAAAUAAUUUAAUAACAUCAAAAAUAUAUUAAUUUAAAAUAAAAAAAUUUAAAUUUUUUAAAAAUCACUUUUUAAUAACAAUUCCAAACCCCCUCUUAUCUUUUUAGUUUUUUUAAAGUGUGUUUGAGAAUGUAAUUGUUGUUAUUUUUAAAUUAUUUUUUAUUUUAAAAAAUAUAUUAAUAAUUUUUUUUAUUUUUUAAAAAUUAUUUUUAAGAUUAAUACAUCAAAAUAAUUUAAAAAUAUUAAAAAUAUAUUAAUUUAAAAUAAAAAAAAUUUAAAUUUUUUAAAAAACAAGCAAUUCCAAACCCCCUCUUAUCUGCAUACCCACAAUGCCAGGCGUCAUUGCCUGCGUCUAUACUUUGCUGAGUUGUCCUUCGUGAUUUUUCCAUAUACAGUGAUUUGUCCAUCGCCUGCCCUCCUUAACCUCAUCUCUCUUUCUCGCGCUCGUUGUGUGAACUGUGAAGUCAUAGAAGUCUUGAAGGAAAACAAAGAAGAAGAAAUUCAUGUGCUAAUGGCGGCACUCUCAUCUCAGGGUCACUUAAACCCCAUGCUUAGACUAGGUAAACGCUUAGUCAAUAAAGGUCUCCAUGUCACACUGGCCACCACUGAAUUCACCGGUCACCGCAUGCUCAAAUCUUCCACCAUCAACCCCACCUCCUCCCCCAUCUCAAUCUCUGGAGUCCAAGUUCGCUUCUUCUCUGAUGGUCAAAGCCUAAACUACGACCGCAUGGUUAAUUACGAAUCGUACAAGAAGAGUUUAGCCAAAUUUGGAACCAUCAAUCUCUCAAACCUUAUAAAGGAGCAUUUCCCCAGUAAUGGUCACAAAAAGCUCUCUUGCAUCAUCACCAACCCAUUUGUUACCUGGGUAGCUGAUGUUGCCAUCAAUCAUGGAAUUCCCUGUGCCAUGUUUUGGAUACAGCCAUGUUCACUUUAUGCCAUUUAUUAUCGCUUUUACAAUAAGCUAAACUCAUUUCCUACUUUAACAGAUCCUGAUAUGAGUGUUGAGUUGCCAGGCUUGCCACUGUUAUACAGAAGAUUUACCUUCCUUUGUUCUUCCUUCAAUUCCAUUUGGUAGCUUGCCUAAAAUGUUCCCAGAGAUGUUCCAGAACAUGAAGAGGUAUAAAUGGGUUCUUGGGAACUCAUUCUUUGGGCUUGAGAAAGAUGCUAUUGAAUCCAUGGCUGAUCUCUGCCCUAUUAGUCCCAUUGGCCCUCUAGUUCCUCCAUCACUUCUUGGUGAAGAUGAAGAUCACGAUACGGGUGUCGAGAUGUGGAAAGCAGAAGAUACUUGCAUUGAUUGGUUAAACAAGGAAGCCCCUUCUUCAGAUAUACGUAUCUUUUGGAAGCCUUGUUGUCUUAUCAGCAAAACAAAUGGAGUGCAUAGCAAAAGCCCUGAAGAACAGUAACAGUCCAUUUAUUUGGGUGGUUAAGCAACCAGACUUACCAGAACCUGAUGGUGCAGGACAAUUGCCAUUAGGGUUCUUGGAGGAGACGACAGACCAAGGGGUGGUUGUAUCAUGGUCUCCACAAACCAAAGUUUUAGCCCACCCAGCUAUUGCGUGUUUUAUAACUCACUGUGGAUGGAAUUCUGUGUUAGAAACAAUUGCUGCAGGCGUGCCGGUGAUUGCAUACCCCAAGUGGAGCGACCAGCCAACAAAUGCAAAACUUAUUGUUGAUGUUUUUCGCAUUGGUCUAAGGCUUAGAGCAAAUCAAGAUGGGAUUGUUAGCAACGAGGAAGUUGAAAGAUGUAUUAGAGAGAUCAUGGACGGACCAAAGUCUGUGGAGCUUAAAUCCAAUGCAAGGGAAUUGAGGAUCGCGGCAAGAGAGGCAGUUGCCGGUGGUGGUUCAUCGGACAAGAAUAUUCUGUUGUUUGUAGAUGAAAUUAUUGAGAGUUGUGGUUCAAUUGAAGUAUGCAAUGUAGAAUGCAAGGUUCCUCAUCAAUAUACACAAGGCAACGAAGGCCAAUAAUUGUGAUUGGAUAAUGCUAGGAUUACUGCGUUUUUUUAUUAAGUUUUGUUUAAUUACCUGUUAUUUAUUCCAAGGAAAGAAUUUCAAAUCAUGAAAUGUAGAUCAUAUCAUAUUUAAGACUAUGUUACUCUACUUUUAGCACUAACAAUGGUAAUUUUUCUAACCGGACUGAAGAAAUAUACGUGGUCUGGAUGUGCGAAAACCGAUGCUAUUAAAAUAAAAUAAAAUAAAAUAAUGCUCUAUAUAUUGAUAUUGAUGGAAUAUUCAUGCCUGCAACAGUAGUUCAUUGCAAUAUGCUUUUAAAAAAUAUAUUUUUAAAUUUUUAUCAUUAUAUUAUCAAAAUUAUUGAAAAACAUAAAAGGAAUUUUAAUUUAAUAUUUUUUUCAAAAUAAAUAUAUUUUUUAAACAUUCAAUAUCAAAAGCUGCUGCAAUUUCAAGUCCCAAACACCACCUUAAACUUAUGGACAAGAAAGUAAUUUUUUUAAAAUAUUUUUUUAUUUAAAAAUAUAUUGAAAUAAAAUAUUUUUUUAAAAUUUAUUUUUAAUACUAUUUAAAAAAUACAUAAAAAAUUAAUUUAAAAUAAAUAAAAAAAUAAAAUAAAUAUUAAAGUUAUUUAAUAAUAUUUUUAUCGCACAGGCAGGCCAACGUUUCGUUCGCAGCAAAUAAGUUAAUGGAUUGUGACAGCAUUUCAAUUCUUAUACCCAUAUAAGAUGUUCUUCAAAAUAGUAAGAAACGCGGUAAAAAAUGUGUAUUUAAGGGCUAAACGACACCUCUUGGGUUGUUCUCGUUUUAUAUUUGAUGGGUAAUAACCCUGCUAAACGCACCUCUGGGGUUGUUGGCCUGGGUUUUGGUAAGGGCUAGGUUCCCUUGCUGUUUUUUUCUUCUUCUUUUUAAUUCUUUUCUUUUUCUCGAAGCAUGGAACAAUAAAAAAAACAAUUUAGUUCAUAAAUAUUUUUAAAUUUUAUUCUCUCGUAUUUAAGAAUUAUUAUGUUGUGGCUUGCUAGGUAGGCUCAUCGUGCAACCAAAUUAAUCAAACCCAAAAAAAAGAAGAGAUUUUGAUCAUCAUCCCUCUCUGCUUUUUCUUAAGGAAAUAUAUUGAUUCUCCCUCUAAUCUAAACUAAUGGCAAGAAUUUCUAUAUCAAUGUGAGUUUCCAAUAAAUUAUUUUAGGUAUUUUCAAAAUUAUAAAAGUAUCUUUCAAUAGAAAAACAAAACAAUAUAUAUUCUAAACACAAAUAUAUGAUACAAAUAGCGUAUCGCUGAGUGGUGAGUGGUGAAUAUCCCUUCUUAGCAUGACGUGCUGGAAAGCAUAUACUAGCUAGUGCAGAAUCUUUCAUAGACAGCCAGAAGUCAAGGAAUGAAGUGCACUUGCACUAGUAACUAAUCUUCUUCAUUCAAUCGGAAUAACUUGUUGGUUACCCGAUGUCUUGGGUUUCUGAGUGUUUUUCAAAGAUUUUCAAACAUGUCUUAACUACGUACUGAUCAUUUCCAUGAUCGGAAAAAGAGAAUAGUAAUCGACAUGCAAAAUUGCAAAUAGAUGUGUUUCUCGCUUCUAUAUAUAAUCACAUUAUACAUUAUGCUCUAAUAUGACUGCACAAUCAUUGAAAGCUACAGUUAACUAUUAGCGUAAUCAAAUUUGAUUUCAUCUUCUGUUCCAAGAAGCCAAGGAAAGAGUUAUAAUUGAAACAUUGUAUGCAUUUGACCGUCAGCCAACUAACAGUCCAUCACUAAAAACUUUGAAUGCAACUCCUUAUAAAUGCUAAAUGUAUCUGCAUCCUGUCUUUCCAUGCUCACCACUCAUUCCCAAACUCAUCAAGUCCUCUACUGUUCAUCAAUCUCUUCCGUCUCUCUGCCUGUAAGAAAACCCCGGAAGAGAAAAAUGGUUUCCGAGUCUCUUGGCCAUCUCUUCCUUGUUUCUUUCCCAGCCCAAGGCCAUGUAAAUCCUUUACUUAGACUUGGAAAAAUUCUUGCCUCCAAAGGCUUCCUUGUCACCUUCUCCACUACUGAAACCAUUGGCAAACAGAUGAGAAAAGCCAGUGGCUUCAUAGAUAAGCUGACCCCGUUUGGUGAUGGCUUUAUCCGGUUUGAGUUCUUUGAAGAUGGAUGGACAGAGGACGAGGAUAGGCACCAAGACCUUGAUCAAUACUUACUUCAACUUGAGCUUGUUGGUAAACAAGUAAUUCCUCAAAUGAUCAAGAAAAAUGAAGAGCAAGGGCGGCCUGUUUGUUGCCUCAUAAACAACCCUUUCAUUCCUUGGGUUACAGAUGUGGCCACAAGUCUAGGUCUCCCUUCUGCAAUGCUUUGGGUUCAAUCCUGCGCUUGUUUUGCCUCAUAUUACCAUUUCUAUCACGGUACUGUACCUUUCCCUGAUGAGGAGCACCCCGAGAUAGAUGUCCAAUUACCAUGCAUGCCUCUCCUAAAACAUGAUGAAGUGCCUAGUUUCUUACAUCCUACAACUCCUUAUGCUAUCUUGAGGAGGGCUAUUUUAGGUCAGUACAAAAAUCUUGACAAGCCAUUUUGCAUCCUGAUGGAAACAUUCGAUGAGCUUGAACCAGAGCUUAUCAAGCACAUGUCCGAAAUCUUCCCCAUCAAGGCCGUUGGGCCACUAUUCAGAAAUCCCAAGGCACCACAGACAACGGUCCAUGGAGACUUGCUGAAGGCAGAUGACUGCAUCGAAUGGCUUGACACAAAGCCACCUUCAUCAGUUGUUUAUGUGUCUUUCGGUAGUGUCGUGCAAUUGAAGCAAGACCAAUGGAACGAGAUCGCUUAUGGGUUAUUGAAUUCGGGCGUCAACUUCUUGUUAGUUAUGAAACCAGCCCACAAAGAUGCAGGACAUGACCUCCUUGUUCUGCCAGAUGGGUUCUCGGAGAAAGCAGGAGACAGGGGCAAGGUGGUGCAAUGGAGUCCUCAAGAGAAGGUUUUAGCUCACCCGUCAGUUGCGUGCUUCGUAACACAUUGUGGGUGGAACUCUACUAUGGAAGCACUCACAUCAGGCAUGCCAGUGGCGGCUUUCCCUCAAUGGGGUGAUCAAGUAACUAAUGCAAAAUAUUUGGUCGACAUCCUUAAGGUUGGUGUGAGAAUGAGCCGCGGAGAAGCAGAGAACAAACUGAUUACUCGUGAUGAGAUAGAGAAAUGCUUGUUGGAGGCCACAGCGGGACCUAAGGCAAUGGAAAUGAAGGAGAAAGCAAUGAAAUGGAAGGAGGCAGCGGAGGCAGCAGUGGCUGAGGGUGGUUCCUCCGACUGGAAUAUACGAUAUUUUACGGACGAUAUUGUAAAAGCGAAUGAGUCUGAGAUUGCUGGGAAGUGCAUUGGUUCUAAUGAGUUUCCAGUGUCGGUAGUAGUGAAGUCCAACGAGAAAGUGGCUGAACUGGUGGGGUCAUCGGCAUGAGGAGAUUUGCUAUAUGUGCUGUGAACGUGGAACUGGUUUAAUCCAGUGCUGUUAGUAUGGUGAAAUUAAUUACUCUUGUUAUGUAGUUGUCUACUUUUUACUUCUUUUAAUUAGCUAUUAAUAACAUAUAGCCAAGUGCCAUAUAAAGGCCAUAUGUAUCAUUUUAAGGUAUUGUUGAGUUGUUGUUGUAGUGUAAUUUCAAAAGUAACAAUUGUACCUGAUUUCUUGUGUUUUUAAGGUAUCGAUCGACAAUGCCGCUGGUAUUGUGUUUGCUAAAAAAAAAUAUAUUUUUAAAGUUAUUUUUUCUAUAUUUUUAUAUGAUUUUGAUAUAAUAAUAUUAAUAAUAAAAUUUAAAAAAUAAAAAAUAAAUUAUUUUAAUAUAUUUUCAAGUAAAAAAUAUUUUGAAAAUCAACCAUUAUCACAUACCACUAAAUUUGAUUUUUUAUUAAAUUAAUUUUUUUAUAUUUUUGAAUUGUUUUGAUGUGCUGAUGUUAAAAAUAAAAUAUAUAUUAUUUUAAUGUAUUUCUGAACGAAAAACACUUUAAAAAACAACCACUAACACAAUAUUAAACAUUAGUGUAUUACAACAUAUACACCAUUUAUGCAUCUUUUUCUUCCUCACUAGUGUUUAAAUUAACAUUAUUAGCAAAGAAAAAAAAAUAGCAAACGAGCAUGUUUUUCAAAAUAAUUUAAUUCAUAAAAUAUUUUAAAUUUUAUUUUCUUGUAUUUAAGAAUUAUUAUGUUGCGGCUAUCUAGGUAGACUCAUCGUGCAACCAAAUUAAUCCAACCCAAAAUAAAGAGAGAUUUUGAUCAUUAUCUCUCUCUGUCUUUUCUUAAGGAAAUAUAUUGAUUCUCCCUCUAAUCUAGACUAAUGGCAAGAAUUUCUAUAUCAAUGUGAGUUUCCAAUAAAUUAUUUUAAGUAUUUUCAAAAUUAUAAAACAAUCUUUCAAUAGAAAAACAAAACAAUAUUCCAAACACAAAUAUAUAAUACAAAGUUUUCAUAUUGAGUAGCAUGAAAAAAAAUUCCAAUCUCAACCAAUCCUUAAUGUUUUGGAAUGCAUAAUUCACUGCUAUCAUUUAUUAACUUUAAUAUAAUUUAUUUAUAUAAAAAAAGUAUGAUUUUGUUUUCUAUAAAAAAAUAGUACUCUGCAAAUCACAAAUGACACACACAAGUUGAUCAGAACCAUUCACCAGCACAAAACACUAUUAGAUGUACACUAUUCACGUCUUCUGCAGAGUGAAGCAGACCUCGAACUCAUGUUCAAAACAGCUGUAAUAACUGGUAGCUGUUGAAGUGGCACCAUUUAACUGGUCUCUCGUUCUGCUUCAAAGGAUGGCCUCACUUACAGAUUUGAAACUGGAAGCCUGUCUUUUUUUUGGCUCUGAAAGGGAUUCUCUUGUCUGCUUUUGUAGGUCUGUAAUUUUUUGGGAGCUUCGGCUUCUCUCAUCAGGAUUCAAUUGGAUGUUGCUGGGAACUCCGAACAAUACAAAUAUCGUAUUGCUGAGUGGUGAAUAUCCCUUCUUAGCAUGACGUGCUGGAAAGCAUAUACUGGCUAGUGCAGAAUCUUUCAUAGACAAACCAGAAGUCAAGGAAUGAAGUGCACUCGCAAUAGUAACUAAUCUUCUUCAUUCAAUCGGUAUAACUUGUUGGUUACCCGAUGUCUUGGGUUUCUGAGUGUUGCAAAAUCAUUGAAAGCUACAGUUAACUAUUAGCGUAAUCAAAUUUGAUUUCAUCUUCUGUUCCAAGAAGCCAAGGAAAGAGUUAUAAUUGAAACAUUGUAUGCAUUUGACCGUCAGCCAACUAACAGUCCAUCACUAAAAACUUUGAAUGCAACUCCUUAUAAAUGCUAUAUGUAUCUGCAUCCUUUCUUUCCAUGCUCACCACUCCUUCCCAAACUCAUCAAGUCCUCUACUGUUCAUCAAUCUCUUCCGUCUCUCUGCCUGUAAGAAAACCCCGGAAGAGAAAAAUGGUUUCCGAGUCUCUUGGCCAUCUCUUCCUUGUUUCUUUCCCAGCCCAAGGCCAUGUAAAUCCUUUACUUAGACUUGGAAAAAUUCUUGCCUCCAAAGGCUUCCUUGUCACCUUCUCCACUGCAGAAACCACUGGCGAACAGAUGAGAAAAGCCAGUGGCAUCAUAGAUAAGCUGACCCCGUUUGGUGAUGGCUUUAUCCGGUUUGAAUUCUUUGUAGAUGGAUGGGAAGAGGACGAGCCUAGGCGCCAAGACCUUGAUCAAUACUUACCUCAACUUGAGCUUGUUGGUAAACAAGUAAUUCCUCAAAUGAUCAAGAAAAAUGAAGAGCAAGGGCGGCCUGUUUCUUGCCUCAUAAACAACCCUUUCAUUCCUUGGGUUACAGAUGUGGCUACAAGUCUAGGUCUCCCUUCUGCAAUGCUUUGGGUUCAAUCCUGCGCUUGUUUUGCCUCAUAUUACCAUUACUAUCACGGUACUGUACCUUUCCCUGAUGAGGAGCACCCCGAGAUAGAUGUCCAAUUACCAUGCAUGCCUCUCCUAAAACAUGAUGAAGUGCCUAGUUUCUUGCAUCCCACAACUCC
rnacentral:lncRNA from 1 species